GAUGAACGCUGGCGGCGUGCCUAAUACAUGCAAGUCGAGCGAAUGGAUUAAGAGCUUGCUCUUAUGAAGUUAGCGGCGGACGGGUGAGUAACACGUGGGUAACCUGCCCAUAAGACUGGGAUAACUCCGGGAAACCGGGGCUAAUACCGGAUAACAUUUUGAACCGCAUGGUUCGAAAUUGAAAGGCGGCUUCGGCUGUCACUUACGGAUGGACCCGCGUCGCAUUAGCUAGUUGGUGAGGUAACGGCUCACCAAGGCAACGAUGCGUAGCCGGCCUGAGAGGGUGAUCGGCCACACUGGGAAUGAGACACGGCCCAGACUCCUACGGGAGGCAGCAGUAGGGAAUCUUCCGCAAUGGACGAAAGUCUGACGGAGCAACGCCGCGUGAGUGAUGAAGGCUUUCGGGUCGUAAAACUCUGUUGUUAGGGAAGAACAAGUGCUAGUUGAAUAAGCUGGCACCUUGACGGUACCUAACCAGAAAGCCACGGCUAACUACGUGCCAGCCGCCGCGGUAA
rnacentral:rRNA from 1 species